CCCAAUCCUGACAAUGAAAAGACUGGAGGUGAAACUGCUGCAGCUUCCACAUUGAACUGUUCACUGUUGUAUCAAUAACAGCUGUGUGUUCAUGUUUAUGAUCAGAUUAACUAGUCCCAUGAUGCACUGGGGGUUAAAAUGAUCAUAAUCUACUGGCUGAACAAACAUGUUUCAAUCACAUGAUUUUAUGAGCCACUGAUCCACAUGAAAAACCUGCUGAAACUUUUUGUUCAAGAAAGUGACAGAGUGAGGCCUCACAGUCAACAUGUGAUGACCUUUAACAUGCUGAACCUGUUACUCUCACACACACACACACACACACACACACACACACACACACACACACACACACACACACACGAUUUUAAUUGAACGAGACAUUUUACUAUUAACUGGCUUUUUAUAGACAAAACGAUCAUCAAAUUACAAUAAUAAUAAUAAUAAUAACUGGCAGAUUGAUUGAUAAUUAAUCAAUCAUGAGCUGUAGUUUAUAUCCGUCACACUUUCUCAGCGUCAGACACCAGCAGCUGUCCCUCACAGCCACGGACAUGUUAAGGUCUCGUGCACACUCCUCGAAGGGCGUGCAUGGGCAACGUGCACGCUCCUGAGAUGUUUUAAAGUUUGUGCACAGCUGAGGGGGGGUCAUGACAUUUAAAGGACAGACAUGCAGCUGCUGUGACAGACACAUGGAGGGAAAUGUCAGUGUGUCUGUACAGUGUGAAGACUCUUUUUUUUUUUUACACUGUAAAAAAUGAUUGUAUAUUUUUUAAAAAGCUGUGUUCAUGAAUAAAUGUCAUGCAGACGUCACAGAACCACGGUCACAGGCUUCAACUGAAGACGACACGUGCACCAUUCAAUGUAGAAGCACAGUAAAAAGCGUUUGAUGCUGUGAGUGUGAGAACAUUCAGAAAGUCUUCAGACGCCUUCACUUCUGUCACAUGUUGUUAUGUUGCAGCCCGAUGAGGAAAUAACUACAUGUUUCCCUCAUCAGUCUUCACUCAAUUCUCCAUGACGACAGAGUGAACAUUUCAUUAAAGAAGUAUUCAGACACCUCACUGUGAAUCUGUAAGUUCAGCUGAGGUUCCUCCAUUUCUCUGGAUGAUCUCUGAGAUGUCUCUACACCUGUGGGUGUAGUCCACCUGUCCACCUGUGGUAAACUCAGCUGGACACACACCUGUCUCUACAAGGUCUCACAGCUGAGCAGAGCAGAACCCGUGAGGUGAAGGAGCUGCUGCAGAGCUCAGACAGGAUUGUGUCGAGGCGCCUGGAAGAACCAGGACUCUUCUAGAGCUGGACCCGGACUAACUGAGGCAUCAGAGGAGACCGAGAACCUGAUGGUCUCUCUGAGCUCCAGAGACUGAAACUUCCAAAACCCCAAAAUACACAAUUUACUGUUGGAUAAGAAAAGAAACAGCAAGUGACUCUGAAAAACAAAGAUACAUUUUAUAUUGACACAGAAACUGGAUUCAGUGACUAACUGUGACAAACUCCUCAUGUUUAAUCUCCACUUUGACCGUGCAGUAAAACUUUGAGUAUGCUGGUCUGAA